UUCAGACGAUGCGUCAUGCAUAUCAAUAAGCGGAGGAAAAGAAACUAACAAGGAUUCCCUUAGUAACGGCGAGUGAAGCGGGAAGAGCUCAAAUUUGAAAUCUUCAAGGUUCUGACCUUGACGAAUUGUAGUUUAAAGAAGUGUUUUCGGUUAGAGGAGUUCGGUAAAAGUUCUUUGGAAUAGGACAUCAUAGAGGGUGAGAAUCCCGUAUUUGGUACCAUUCCUUUCUAGCUUUGUGAUACACUUUCAAAGAGUCGGAUUGUUUGGGAAUGCAGUCCAAAAUGGGUGGUAAAUUUCAUCUAAAGCUAAAUAUUGGCGAGAGACCGAUAGCGAACAAGUACCGUGAGGGAAGGAUGAAAAGAACUUUGAAAAGAGAGUUAAACAGUCACGCUGAAAUUGUCAAAAGGGAAGCGUUUGACACCAGCGUUGUUUUCUCGAAAAUCAAUUAAAAAGAGUUGGAUUUUGUGUUGUAUUGACCUUAACAGCUUGCUUCACUCUUUUCCUGCUUUUUUUAAUGCACUUUUCGUUUAACAAGUCAACAUCAGUUUCUUUUGUUGUAAAAGGGUCAUUGGAAGGUGGCUUUCUCUUCGGAGAAAGUGUUUAUAGCCUUUGAUCUCUGCAAUCGGAGAGACUGAGGUCUGCAGCGUAGAUCCUUCGGGGUUAGAUACAUUUGUGCUAAGCUACAGCUUUUCAUAGACAACUUGUUGACUAUGUUUAGUCUUGUAACUUACCCGCUUAUGCUAUUUUACCUACGCUUAGGAUGUUGAUAUGCAUGACUGAUAU
rnacentral:rRNA from 1 species